GCCACCUACUACACUGCUCUGAGCUCACCUAACUCCCAGGCCUGGCAUCUCUUAGAAUUUUCCAUCCUGUUGUUUUCCAAGACAACAGAGUAUAUUUGAUUCUUAAGCUUAAGGAAUAUAAAAUUGGAUUGUCAGUGGCUGAAAUAGAGCAUAGAGGAAUGAUUAGAAAUGAACAACCAAGACCCAUGUUGAGGCUGGGCAACCUGAAAGCUGAAGCCUCCAAUCCAUUGGGAUGAGAAUGUUUGCUUACAGAUGCCCAGAGUACAGCAGAAUCCAACCCAACAAGCCAGUGCACCCUUUAGCAGCACUUCCUGGAGAUCUCAUCCUCAGAACUAUCAAGUUACCGAUAUAUUCAUCACCCUGGUCAUCUGUUUCUUCGGCUCAUCUUUCUCAUUUGUAACCAGAUAGCAGAUAUGUUGUGACCGUGGGAGGAAGUGAAACCCUCAUGCAUCACAAGGUGAAACUGUACACUGGGAGUGAUAGAACACAAGUUAAAAGAAUUUAAAUGUUGAUAAUCUCUGAGCCACCAUGCCAGCCAGUGUAUAUAGAAGAACUAGGCAGGCAUGCCAUGUAGGCCACUGUUGUUUUAGGUUUUCUUUCACAAUGCUGAGUAUAAAUCCUAAAUAUGGUAGAUUUAUUACUGUGCUUUUUUUUAAAAAAAAAUGAGAAGAAAUUACAGUUCACAAGUAUUAACUGAUUUUCUCAA
rnacentral:lncRNA from 1 species